GAUGAACGCUGGCGGCGUGCCUAAUACAUGCAAGUCGAGCGAACAGAUGAGGAGCUUGCUCCUCUGAUGUUAGCGGCGGACGGGUGAGUAACACGUGGAUAACCUACCUAUAAGACUGGGAUAACUUCGGGAAACCGUAGCUAAUACCGGAUAAUAUAUUGAACCGCAUGGUUCAAUAGUGAAAGACGGUUUUGCUGUCACUUAUAGAUGGAUCCGCGCCGCAUUAGCUAGUUGGUAAGGUAACGGCUUACCAAGGCAACGAUGCGUAGCCGACCUGAGAGGGUGAUCGGCCACACUGGAACUGAGACACGGUCCAGACUCCUACGGGAGGCAGCAGUAGGGAAUCUUCCGCAAUGGGCGAAAGCCUGACGGAGCAACGCCGCGUGAGUGAUGAAGGUCUUCGGAUCGUAAAACUCUGUUAUUAGGGAAGAACAAAUGUGUAAGUAACUAUGCACGUCUUGACGGUACCUAAUCAGAAAGCCACGGCUAACUACGUG
rnacentral:rRNA from 1 species